UCGUUGAGAGCGGGGUUUCCUUAGGUCAGAGCAUACAUGGCGAGUAGCAUUGGCGGCAGGCGAUUUUGCAGAGAUUGUGCUCCUCGUGGCACUUAGUGCUCACCAGAGUAAGCUACAUGGCGAGUUAUUCCCUGCAUGGGUAACUUGUCGCGUGCGAGGUGAAUGUAGGUGGCCUUGGUUCUAGGCGUUUCGGUAAAGUUGAAUGUUGCUUUGAGGUAACUUGUUGGUUAUAUUUUUGGGUAUGUUUUUCUCACUUUAUGGUUGUUCUGCUCCAACCAUAAAGGAGAGUUUCUUUUGUAGAUGAUAUAGGAAGUCCACUUGUGGUUACUGUAUAUGGGUUAGG
rnacentral:lncRNA from 1 species